rnacentral:rRNA from 1 species
GAGAAACGGCUACCACAUCCACGGAAGGCAGCAGGCGCGUAAAUUACCCAAUACCGGCUCGGUGAGGUAGUGACAAUAAAUAACAAUAUGGGCCCUAGUGGUUUCAUAAUUGCAAUGAGAAUAUUUUAAAUACUUUAUCAAGUAUCAAUUGGAGGGCAAGUCUGGUGCCAGCAGCCGCGGUAAUUCCAGCUCCAAAAGCGUAUAUUAAAGUUGUUGCAGUUAAAAAGCUCGUAGUUGAAAUUGGGGAUUCUAAAUGAAUUGAUGUCCUUGAUAGAAAUUCAUUUGGUCCUUACUGUCGUGUAUAUUUUUCAGUUACUUUACUGUAUUUGAAAAAUAACCGACUUGUUUACUUUGAAUAAAUUAGAGUGCUUAAAGCAAGCUUAUGCUUGUAUAGUGUUGCAUGGAAUAAUAAAAUAGGACUUCGGUUUUAUUUUGUUGGUUUUCGAAACUGAAGUAAUGAUUAAAAGAGAUUGCCGGGGGCAUGUGUAUGCUGGUGUUAGAGGUGAAAUUCUUAGAUCAUCAGCAGACAAACUACU